rnacentral:rRNA from 1 species
CUACGGGGGGCUGCAGUGAGGAAUAUUGCACAAUGGAGGAAACUCUGAUGCAGCAACGCCGCGUGGAGGAUGACGCAUUUCGGUGUGCAAACUCCUUUUAUAUGCCAAGAAAAUGACGGUAGCAUAUGAGUAAGCACCGGCUAACUCCGUGCCAGCAGCCGCGGUAAUACGGAGGGUGCAAGCGUUACUCGGAAUCACUGGGCGUAAAGGACGCGUAGGCGGGAUAUCAAGUCAGGUGUGAAAUCCUACAGCUUAACUGUAGAACUGCACUUGAAACUUCUAAUCUAGAGUAUGGGAGGGGGAGAUGGAAUUAGUGGUGUAGGGGUAAAAUCCGUAGAUAUCACUAGGAAUACCUAAAGCGAAGGCGAUCUCCUGGAACAUUACUGACGCUAAGGCGUGAAAGCGUGGGGAGCAAACAGGAUUAGAUACCCGGGUAGUC